rnacentral:rRNA from 1 species
CAGCAGUGGGGAAUAUUGCACAAUGGGGGAAACCCUGAUGCAGCGACGCCGCGUGAAGGAAGAAGUAUUUCGGUAUGUAAACUUCUAUCAGCAGGGAAGAAAAUGACGGUACCUGACUAAGAAGCCCCGGCUAACUACGUGCCAGCAGCCGCGGUAAUACGUAGGGGGCAAGCGUUAUCCGGAUUUACUGGGUGUAAAGGGAGCGUAGACGGACAUGCAAGUCUGGAGUGAAAGCCCGGGGCUCAACCCCGGGACUGCUUUGGAAACUGUGAGUCUGGAGUACCGGAGAGGCAGGCGGAAUUCCCAGUGUAGCGGUGAAAUGCGUAGAUAUUGGGAGGAACACCAGUGGCGAAGGCGGCCUGCUGGACGGUAACUGACGUUGAGGCUCGAAAGCGUGGGGAGCAAACAGGAUUAGA